AUUGAACGCUGGCGGUAUGCUUAACACAUGCAAGUCGAACGGGCAGCAUGGUGUAGCUUGCUACACUGAUGGCGAGUGGCGAACGGGUGAGUAACGCGUAGGAAUAUACCUUGAAGCGGGGGAUAACUUGGGGAAACUCAAGCUAAUACCGCAUAAUGUCUUAGGACAAAAGCUGGGGACCUUCGGGCCUGGCACUUCAAGAUUAGGCCCUGCGUCCGAUUAGCUAGUUGGUAGGGUAAGAGCCUACCAAGGCGACGAUCAGUAGCGGGUCUGAGAGGAUGAUCCGUCACACUGGAACUGAGACACGGUCCAGACUCCUACGGGUGGCAG
rnacentral:rRNA from 1 species